rfam:Fukomys damarensis contig113063, whole genome shotgun sequence.
UAUUUAUUCCAUGCUACCCUGAAUGCACCCGAUCUCAUCUCAUCUCGGAAGCUAAGCAGGGUCGGGCCUGGUUAGUACUUAGAUGGGACACCCUGGAUUCUUGUUCAGGACUGCAUGGAUUC